rnacentral:tRNA from 1 species
GCACCCGUAGCUCAGUCGGUAGAGCAGCUGACUCUUAAUCAGCGGGCCGCAGGUUCGAGUCCUGCCGGGUGUACCA